UACGGAGGGAGCUAGCGUUAUUCGGAAUUACUGGGCGUAAAGCGCACGUAGGCGGCUUUGUAAGUUAGAGGUGAAAGCCCGGAGCUCAACUCCGGAACUGCCUUUAAGACUGCAUCGCUUGAAUCCAGGAGAGGUGAGUGGAAUUCCGGAGUGUAGAGGUGAAAUUCGUAGAUAUUCGGAAGAACACCAGUGGCGAGGGCGGCUCACUGGACUGGUAUUGACGCUGAGGUGCGAAAGCGUGGGGAGCAAACAGGG
rnacentral:rRNA from 1 species